UACGUAGGGUGCAAGCGUUGUCCGGAAUUACUGGGCGUAAAGAGCUCGUAGGCGGUUUGUCGCGUCUGCUGUGAAAACCCGAGGCUCAACCUCGGGCCUGCAGUGGGUACGGGCAGACUAGAGUGCGGUAGGGGAGAUUGGAAUUCCUGGUGUAGCGGUGGAAUGCGCAGAUAUCAGGAGGAACACCGGUGGCGAAGGCGGGUCUCUGGGCCGUAACUGACGCUGAGGAGCGAAAGCGUGGGGAGCGAACAGG
rnacentral:rRNA from 1 species